rnacentral:rRNA from 1 species
UACGGAGGGUGCAAGCGUUAUCCGGAUUCACUGGGUUUAAAGGGUGCGUAGGUGGGUUGGUAAGUCAGUGGUGAAAUCUCCGAGCUUAACUUGGAAACUGCCAUUGAUACUAUCAGUCUUGAAUAUUGUGGAGGUUAGCGGAAUAUGUCAUGUAGCGGUGAAAUGCUUAGAUAUGACAUAGAACACCGAUAGCGAAGGCAGCUUGCUACACAGUUAUUGACACUGAGGCACGAAAGCGUGGGGAGCAAACAGG